ACGGGAGGCAGCAGUAGGGAAUAUUGCACAAUUGGGGAAACCCUGAUGCAGAAACGCCACGUGUGGGAAGACGCAUUUCGGUGUGUAAACCUCUGUCGUGAGGGAAUAAGGCUACUUUUCGGAGUAGUUGAAUGUACCUCGAAAGGAAGCACCGGCAAACUUCGUGACAGCAGCCGCGGUAAUACGAGGGGUGCAAGCGUUGUUCGGAAUCACUGGGCGUAAAGGGAGCGCAGGCGGAGAUGCAAGCGGACUGUACAAUACCGGGGCCCAACCCCGGACCUGCAGUCCGGACUGCACCUCUUGGAUAGUUCAGGGGCAAGCGGAAUUCCUGGUGUAGCGGUGGAAUGCGUAGAGAUCAGGAAGAACACCGAUGGCGAAGGCAGCUUGCUGGGGACUAAUCGACGCUCAUGCUCGAAAGUGCGGGUAGCAAACAGGAUUAGAUACCCUGGUA
rnacentral:rRNA from 1 species